rnacentral:rRNA from 1 species
CAAAAACAUCGCCUUUUGAACACUAUAAAAGGUAACGCCUGCCCAGUGACAUAUGUUUAACGGCCGCGGUAUUCUGACCGUGCGAAGGUAGCGUAAUCACUUGUCUUUUAAAUGAAGACUAGUAUGAAUGGCAUCACGAGGACUUAACUGUCUCCCUAAUUUAAUCAGUGAAACUGAUCUUACCGUGAAAAAGCGGUAAUAAUACCAUAAGACGAGAAGACCCUAUGGAGCUUUAAACUAAAAACUAAUUGUAUUAUCUGCCAAAUAAAAUGUCACUAAUAUACAAGUUUAGCCUAAGUUUUUUGUUGGGGCGACUGUGGAGAAAAACUUAUCCUCCAUGAAAUAUAUACUUUGAGUUACCACUCUUGGUAUUAGCAAGCCUAAAUUUUAUUGAUCCAAUUUUUGAUCAACGGACCAAGUUACCCUAGGGAUAACAGCGCAAUCCAUUUCAAGAGUCCCUAUCGACAAAUGGGUUUACGACCUCGAUGUUGGAUUAGGACAUCCUAGUGGUGUAGCCGCUACUAAUGGUUCGUUUGUUCAACGAUUAAAGUCCUACGUGA